UACGAAGGGAGCUAGCGUUGUUCGGAAUCACUGGGCGUAAAGCGCACGUAGGCGGAUGUGUCAGUCAGGGGUGAAAUCCCGGAGCUCAACUUCGGAACUGCCUUUGAUACAGCACGUCUUGAGUCCGAUAGAGGUGGGUGGAAUUCCUAGUGUAGAGGUGAAAUUCGUAGAUAUUCGGCGGAACACCGGUGGCGAAGGCGGCUCACUGGCCCGAUACUGACGCUGAGGCGCGAAAGCGUGGGGAGCAAACAGG
rnacentral:rRNA from 1 species